AGCUUUGCGCAGUGGCAGUAUCAUAGCCAAUGAGGUUUAUCCAAGGCGCAAUUACUGCUAAUAGAAAGUCAGCUAUGUCUUCUGUUCUUGAAAGUAGUGACUUUAUGAAAAGGUCAUGGAGUGCCC
rnacentral:snRNA from 1 species